AGCGAACGCUGGCGGCAGGCUUAACACAUGCAAGUCGAGCGGGCCCUUCGGGGUCAGCGGCGGACGGGUGAGUAACGCGUGGGAACGUGCCUUCUGGUCUGGAAUAACCCUGGGAAACUAGGGCUAAUAACGGAUACGCCCUUUUGGGGAAAGGUUUACAGCCGGAAGAUCGGCCCGCGUCUGAUUAGCUAGUUGGUGGGGUAACGGCCUACCAAGGCGACGAUCAGUAGCUGGUCUGCGAGGAUGAUCAGCCACACUGGGACUGAGACACGGCCCAGACUCCUACGGGAUGCAGCAGUGGGGAAUAUUGGACAAUGGGCGCAAGCCUGAUCCAGCCAUGCCGCGUGAGUGAUGAAGGCCUUAGGGUUGUAAAGCUCUUUUAUCCGGGACGAUAAUGACGGUACCGGAGGAAUAAGCCCCGGCUAACUUCGUGCCAGCAGCCGCCGUAA
rnacentral:rRNA from 1 species